AACGAACGCUGGCGGCAGGCCUAACACAUGCAAGUCGAGCGCCCCGCAAGGGGAGCGGCGCACGGGUGCGUAACGCGUGGGAACAUACCCUUAGGUGCGGAACAACGUCUGGAAACGGACGCUAAUACCGCAUAAUAUCUACGGAUCAAAGAUUUAUCGCCUAAGGAUUGGCCCGCGUUAGAUUAGCUAGUUGGUGAGGUAAUGGCUCACCAAGGCGACGAUCUAUAGCUGGUCUGAGAGGAUGAUCAGCCACACUGGGACUGGGACACGGCCCAGACUCCUACGGGAGGCAGCAGUUAGGAAUAUUGGACAAUGGGCGAAAGCCUGAUCCAGCCAUGCCGCGUGUGUGACGAAGGCCUUAGGGUUGUAAAGCACUUUCGUCUAUGAAGAUAAUGACAGUAGUAGAAGAAGAAGCUCCGGCUAAAUUCGUGCCAGCCGCCGCCGUAA
rnacentral:rRNA from 1 species